UGGAUCCAGACCUUGAUCCUGGCUCAGGACGAACGCUGGCGGCGUGCCUAACACAUGCAAGUCGAACGGAACUGUUUUGAAAGAUUUCUUCGGAAUGAAUUUGAUUUAGUUUAGUGGCGGACGGGUGAGUAACGCGUGAGUAACCUGCCUUCAAGAGGGGGAUAACAUUCUGAAAAGAAUGCUAAUACCGCAUGAUAUAUCGGAACCACAUGGUUUUGAUAUCAAAGAUUUUAUCGCUUGAAGAUGGACUCGCGUCCGAUUAGUUAGUUGGUGAGGUAACGGCUCACCAAGACCGCGAUCGGUAGCCGGACUGAGAGGUUGAACGGCCACAUUGGGACUGAGACACGGCCCAGACUCCUACGGGAGGCAGCAGUGGGGGAUAUUGCGCAAUGUGGGCAACCCUGACGCAGCAACGCCGCGUGAAGGAUGAAGGUUUUCGGAUUGUAAACUUCUUUUAUUAAGGACGAAAAAUGACGGUACUUAAUGAAUAAGCUCCGGCUAACUACGUGCCAGCAGCCGCGGUAAUACGUAGGGAGCAAGCGUUGUCCGGAUUUACUGGGUGUAAAGGGUGCGUAGGCGGCUUUGCAAGUCAGAUGUGAAAUCUAUGGGCUCAACCCAUAAACUGCAUUUGAAACUGUAGAGCUUGAGUGAAGUAGAGGCAGGCGGAAUUCCCCGUGUAGCGGUGAAAUGCGUAGAGAUGGGGAGGAACACCAGUGGCGAAGGCGGCCUGCUGGGCUUUAACUGACGCUGAGGCACGAAAGCGUGGGUAGCAAACAGGAUUAGAUACCCUGGUAGUCCACGCUGUAAACGAUGAUUACUAGGUGUGGGGGGUCUGACCCCUUCCGUGCCGGAGUUAACACAAUAAGUAAUCCACCUGGGGAGUACGGCCGCAAGGUUGCAACUCAAAUGAAUUGACGGA
rnacentral:rRNA from 1 species